rnacentral:rRNA from 1 species
UGGGUAACCUGCCUCAAAGAGGGGAAUAGCCUCCCGAAAGGGAGAUUAAUACCGCAUAAUAUGUUUAAGUCGCAUGACUUUAACAUCAAAGGAUUUCUUUUAAGAAAUUCCACUUUGAGAUGGACCCGCGGCGCAUUAGCUAGUGGUGAGGUAACGGCUACACCAAGGCAACGAUGCGUAGCCGACCUGAGAGGGUGACUCCGGCCACAGUUGGAACUGAGACCACGGUCAGACCUCCCGUAGGGACG